UACGUAGGGCGCAAGCGUUGUCCGGGAUUAUUGGGCGUAAAGAGCUCGUAGGCGGUCUGUCGCGUCUGCCGUGAAAACCCGAGGCUUAACCUCGGGCUGGCGGUGGAUACGGGCAGACUAGAGGUAGGUAGGGGAGAAUGGAAUUCCCGGUGUAGCGGUGAAAUGCGCAGAUAUCGGGAGGAACACCGGUGGCGAAGGCGGUUCUCUGGGCCUGUACUGACGCUGAGGAGCGAAAGCGUGGGGAGCGAACAGG
rnacentral:rRNA from 1 species